rnacentral:rRNA from 1 species
UACGUAGGGUGCGAGCGUUUGUCCGGAAUUAUUGGGCGUAAAGAGCUCGUAGGCGGUUUGUUGCGUCUAUCGUGAAAACCUGCAGCUUAACUGUGGGCUUGCGGUGGAUACGGGCAGACUUGAGUUCGGUAGGGGAGACUGGAAUUCCUGGUGUAGCGGUGAAAUGCGCAGAUAUCAGGAGGAACACCUGUGGCGAAGGCGGCUACCUGGACCGGUUCUGACGCUGAGGCGCGAAAGCGUGGGUAGCAAACAGG